rnacentral:rRNA from 1 species
CGGGGGGGCGUGCUUACGAUGCAAGUCGAACGAUGAAGCCCAGCUUGCUGGGUGGAUUAGUGGCGAACGGGUGAGUAACACGUGAGCAACCUGCCCCUGACUCUGGGAUAACAGCCGGAAACGGUUGCUAAUACCGGAUAUGCAUCAUGGCCGCAUGGUCUGUGGUGGGAAAGAUUUUUCGGUUGGGGAUGGGCUCGCGGCCUAUCAGCUUGUUGGUGAGGUAGUGGCUCACCAAGGCGUCGACGGGUAGCCGGCCUGAGAGGGUGACCGGCCACACUGGGACUGAGACACGGCCCAGACUCCUACGGGAGGCAGCAGUGGGGAAUAUUGCACAAUGGGCGGAAGCCUGAUGCAGCAACGCCGCGUGAGGGAUGACGGCCUUCGGGUUGUAAACCUCUUUUAGCAGGGAAGAAGCGUAAGUGACGGUACCUGCAGAAAAAGCGCCGGCUAACUACGUGCCAGCAGCCGCGGUAAUACGUAGGGCGCAAGCGUUAUCCGGAAUUAUUGGGCGUAAAGAGCUCGUAGGCGGUUUGUCGCGUCUGCUGUGAAAACCCGAGGCUCAACCUCGGGCCUGCAGUGGGUACGGGCAGACUAGAGUGCGGUAGGGGAGAUUGGAAUUCCUGGUGUAGCGGUGGAAUGCGCAGAUAUCAGGAGGAACACCGAUGGCGAAGGCAGAUCUCUGGGCCGUUACUGACGCUGAGGAGCGAAAGGGUGGGGAGCAAACAGGCUUAGAUACCCUGGUAGUCCACCCCGUAAACGUUGGGAACUAGUUGUGGGGGCCUUUCCACGGUCUCCGUGACGCAGCUAACGCAUUAAGUUCCCCGCCUGGGGAGUACGGCCGCAAGGCUAAAACUCAAAGGAAUUGACGGGGACCCGCACAAGCGGCGGAGCAUGCGGAUUAAUUCGAUGCAACGCGAAGAACCUUACCAAGGCUUGACUUACACCGGAA